rnacentral:RNase_P_RNA from 1 species
AGGGGCUUUUGCUCUUAUGAAAGAAGAAGGUCAUAGUGAAAGGGUGAGGUAAGAGCUCACCAGUGCUUAUGGUAACAUAGGCAGCUAGGUAAACCCUGUCCGUAGCAAGAAGCAAUGGUAUUGAGUCUCAUUAGGUCAUUGGAUUGACAAAAGUGCUUCGCUCGAGCGUAUGGGCAACCAUACGCCUAGAUAAAUAACUACCCACGACAGAACACGGCUUAUCGUCAUACCUGACUA